AUUGAACGCUGGCGGCAUGCCUUACACAUGCAAGUCGAACGGUAACAGGUCUUUCGGGAUGCUGACGAGUGGCGAACGGGUGAGUAAUACAUCGGAACGUGCCUAGUAGUGGGGGAUAACUACUCGAAAGAGUGGCUAAUACCGCAUGAGAUCUAUGGAUGAAAGCAGGGGACCUUUGGGCCUUGUGCUACUAGAGCGGCCGAUGGCAGAUUAGGUAGUUGGUGGGAUAAAAGCUUACCAAGCCUACGAUCUGUAGCUGGUCUGAGAGGACGAUCAGCCACACUGGAACUGAGACACGGCCCAGACUCCUACGGGAGGCAGCAGUGGGGAAUUUUGGACAAUGGGCGCAAGCCUGAUCCAGCAAUGCCGCGUGCAGGAUGAAGGCCUUCGGGUUGUAAACUGCUUUUGUACGGAACGAAAAGUCUUGGGUUAAUACCCUGGGAUCAUGACGGUACCGUAAGAAUAAGCACCGGCUAACUACGUG
rnacentral:rRNA from 1 species